UUGGUGGGGUGAUGGCCUACCAAGGCGACGACGGGUAGCCGGCCUGAGAGGGCGACCGGCCACACUGGGACUGAGACACGGCCCAGACUCCUACGGGAGGCAGCAGUGGGGAAUAUUGCACAAUGGGCGGAAGCCUGAUGCAGCGACGCCGCGUGAGGGAUGACGGCCUUCGGGUUGUAAACCUCUUUCAGCAGGGACGAAGCGCAAGUGACGGUACCUGCAGAAGAAGCGCCGGCCAACUACGUGCCAGCAGCCGCGGUAAGACGUAGGGCGCGAGCGUUGUCCGGAUUUAUUGGGCGUAAAGAGCUCGUAGGCGGCUUGUCGCGUCGACUGUGAAAUCCCGCGGCUCAACUGCGGGUCUGCAGUCGAUACGGGCAGGCUAGAGUUCGGUAGGGGAGACUGGAAUUCCUGGUGUAGCGGUGAAAUGCGCAGAUAUCAGGAGGAACACCGAUGGCGAAGGCAGGUCUCUGGGCCGAUACUGACGCUGAGGAGCGAAAGCGUGGGGAGCGAACAGGAUUAGAUACCCUGGUAGUCCACGCUGUAAACGUUGGGCGCUAGGUGUGGGGGACCUCUCCGGUUCUCUGUGCCGCAGCUAACGCAUUAAGCGCCCCGCCUGGGGAGUACGG
rnacentral:rRNA from 1 species